GCCUUUUUUCCACAGAAAAUCUGGGUGAGCAGGUUUAGGUUCCACAGAAAGCUUCCUCCUGCACAAUCCUUUACGAAACGCAAAUAUUGAAAGAGUUUCAAAACGUCUGCUCAAGACACAAGAUCCGUGCAGGAACAAGAAACAUCUACAUCAUCAUCAUUAUUCAUGUGAAUUGGUGAAGGACCAUAAUGUCUGUUGAAGAGCUACUUCUAAACACACUAAAGAAUCUGGAAACAGAGGAACUAAAAGAGUUUCAAUGGUUCUUGAAAAGUCUAAAACAACUACCAGCAUCUGAUUUGGAAAAUGCAGGUAGGGUUAAAACAGUGGAUAAGAUGGUGGCCCAUUUUGGACAAGAAGAAGCAGUGAAGAUCACGGCGGAGAUCCUGAGAAAGAUAAACCAGAAUAAUCUAGCUGAUCAGGUGGAGAACGGUCACAAGAAAGGCUGAGGGCAGUACUGAGGAUCGGAGCCUGUUAGAGCUAUUUUUAAUGGGUAAAUAAUGAUCACUGUUUAUGAAGAAUUAUAUGGAUUCUAGUGGUUAUUCCAGGAUAUCAUAUUCCCUCCUUCUUAAGAUGUAAAUGUGUUUGUUUUUGUUUCAAACAACAUAAAUGUUUGUUUUUGUCAAAAAUGUUGUUUCACUCAUUUUAUGCCAUUUCUGUUUCUUUUCUUGUAUCCAAAAUAUUGACCAUUGUAUGAGAACUGAACUGCUUUCUCCAGAGCUGCUACAUCGAUCAAUUAACUAUCAAUAACUAAUCAUUUUCUACAACAAAAAUGAAGCAUACCAUUUUUAGCCUUUUCAAUGAAAAACCAUCAAAUAAAAUAAAAAAAAUCCCCCUAAAA